GAUGAACGCUGGCGGCGUGCCUAAUACAUGCAAGUCGAGCGAAUGGAUUAAGAGCUUGCUCUUAUGAAGUUAGCGGCGGACGGGUGAGUAACACGUGGGUAACCUGCCCAUAAGACUGGGAUAACUCCGGGAAACCGGGGCUAAUACCGGAUAACAUUUUGAACCGCAUGGUUCGAAAUUGAAAGGCGGCUUCGUCUGUCACUUAUGGAUGGACCCGCGUCGCAUUAGCUAGUUGGUGAGGUAACGGCUCACCAAGGCAACGAGGCGUAGCCGACCUGAGAGGGUGAUCGGCCACACUGGGACUGAGACACGGCCCAGACUCCUACGGGAGGCAGCAGUAGGGAAUCUUCCGCAAUGGACGAAAGUCUGACGGAGCAACGCCGCGUGAGUGAUGAAGGCUUUCGGGUCGUAAAACUCUAUUGUUAGGGAAGAACAAGUGCUGGUUGAAUAAGCUGGCACCUUGACGGUACCUAACCAGAAAGCCACGGCUAACUACGUGCCAGCAGCCGCCGUAA
rnacentral:rRNA from 1 species